UGGUGGUUCUAGCGAGGAGCCUGAACCCGUUCCCAUCCCGAACACGGCCGUUAAACUCCUCAGCGCCAAUGGUACUCCGUCUCAAGACGCGGGAGAGUAGGUCGCCGCCA
rnacentral:rRNA from 1 species